rnacentral:tRNA from 1 species
GCCUUCGUGAUGUAAUGGUCAACACAUUCGGCGAGUAUUCAAGAGGUCCAGGGUUCAACUCCCGGCGAAGGCA